UACGUAGGGUGCAAGCGUUGUCCGGAAUUAUUGGGCGUAAAGAGCUCGUAGGCGGUUUGUCGCGUCUGCUGUGAAAACUCGGGGCUUAACUCCGGGCCUGCAGUGGGUACGGGCAGACUAGAGUGCGGUAGGGGAGACUGGAAUUCCUGGUGUAGCGGUGAAAUGCGCAGGUAUCAGGAGGAACACCGGUGGCGAAGGCGGGUCUCUGGGCCGUAACUGACGCUGAGGAGCGAAAGCGUGGGGAGCGAACAGG
rnacentral:rRNA from 1 species